CCUACGGGUGGCAGCAGUGGGGAAUAUUGCUCAAUGGGCGAAAGCCUGACGCAGCGACGCCGCGUGAGGGAUGAAGGUCUUCGGAUCGUAAACCUCUGUCAGCAGGGAAGAACAGUCACUGUGCUAAUCAGCAGUGAAUUGACGGUACCUUCAAAGGAAGCACCGGCUAACUCCGUGCCAGCAGCCGCGGUAAUACGUAGGGCGCGAGCGUUAAUCGGAAUUACUUGGCGUAAAGCGCUCGUAGGCGGUAUGUCAAGUCAAGGGUGAAAUCCCCGCGCUCAACGUGGGAACGGCUUUUGAAACUGGCAAACUGGAGUGUGUGAGAGGAUAGUGGAAUUCGAGGUGUAGGAGUGAAAUGCGUAGAUAUCUGGAGGAACAUCAGUGGCGAAGGCGACUAUCUGGCACAUAACUGACGCUGAGGAGCGAAAGCGUGGGUAGCAAACAGGAUUAGAUACCCCUGUAGUC
rnacentral:rRNA from 1 species